GACAGGCCCCGAAGCCACAUCAUCAGCUGUGGGUCAGAGGAAGAUCCUGGGGCUUCUCCACCAUGGCCUGGACCCCUCUCCUGCUCCCCCUCCUCACUCUCUACACAGGUUUGGUGGCCUCUUCUGAAGUGACUCAGCCCCCAGCAGUGUCUGUGACCUUGGGACAGACAACCAGGAUCACUUGCCAAGGAGAGUUCAUAAGAAAAUAUUAUCCUUCUUGGUACCAGCAGAAGCCAGGCCAGGCACCCAUGCUGCUCAUCUAUGGUGACGAGAAGCGAACUUCAGUGAUCCCUGACCGAUUCUCUGUUUCUGAACCAGAGGACACAACCACCCUGAUCAUCAGUGGGGCCCGGGCUGAGGACGAGGCUGUCUAUUACUGUUAUGCAGGAGAAAGCAGUAGUAACACUCACAGUGACACAGGCAGACGGGGAAGUGAGACAAAAACCCCUUCCCCAUCUGUGCACACUCUCCUCCUGCCCAAGUACGAGCAGAGACAAAGUUGUGAGCAGGUCUGA